rnacentral:rRNA from 1 species
AACGCGAAGAACCUUACCUGGGCUCGAAAUGUAGAGGACGAUAUCAGAGAUGAUAUCUCUCGAAAGGGUCUUUACAUAGGUGCUGCAUGGCUGUCGUCAGCUCGUGCCGUGAGGUGUUUGGUUAAGUCCAGCAACGAGCGCAACCCUUAUCGUUAGUUGCCAGCGCGUAAUGGCGGGAACUCUAACGAGACUGCCUGGGUUAACCAGGAGGAAGGUGAGGAUGACGUCAAGUCCGCAUGGCCUUUAUGUCCAGGGCAACACACGUGCUACAAUGGUCGGUACAGAAGGCAGCGAAACCGCGAGGUGAAGCAAAUCCUAUAAAACCGAUCUCAGUUCAGAUUGUAGUCUGCAACUCGACUACAUGAAGUUGGAAUUGCUAGUAAUGGCGUGUCAGCUACAACGCCGUGAAUACGUUCCCGGGCCUUGUACACACCGCGAGC